GUUAAAAAUAAGUACAGGGUGUGCUCUCAGCUGCUCCAGCCAAGUCAGUUUGUCUUUGAGAAGGCCUCUAGAUAUUGACAAUAGGCUUAUGGACAUGCCAGCCUCCUAUGACUUUUCGAGGGGACGUUCCUGCAAGACUCACUGUCCUACAAAUUCUUUGUCAAUGAGAAAAUGUCCAUGUGAAGACAUCCAUGUUAGAGACAUACGGGGAGAAUGCCACGUGAACACCGGAGGACGAACGUGAUGCAGCUACAAGCCAAAGGAUGCCAGACGUUUCCUGCAAACCACCAGAAUCUAGGAAGAGGAAGAACUUGCUGCCCUGGGUAUGGACAAAUUCAACAGGGCAGAGCAAAACAGGAGAGCCCUUGGCUGACAAAAGGAGACACACCAGCUAAGGGUGAUGUCGGCUAGCUGAAAAUACACGCUAAUCUAAUCUGGCUGUUCUAGAUGAAUCUCAGGAAUGUGGGAGGCUAGCAUGUCAGAUAGGCAAUUAUUGGCCGGACGCAGGAUUGCAUAAUGCAAUGAUGACUGGGGCUUCCUGCUUCAGCUCGAAUGUGGCGAGCUUGCCAGAGAGGAUUUAUCUUCCCAGGAGAAACAUGCCAGCUUUGAGAGGAUAUGAAGUAACUGUUAUUAUGGGAAAAAAGACAGGCUUAAUUUGAAAAUAGUCAAGGUCCCUUUCAGUUUGUACUCUGGAUCGCUUUCCUUUUCUUUUUUUCUUUUUCCUUUCUGCUCCUCUGUCUCUGCCACUAGGUCUUUCCCUUUGAAUUUCGGUGUCCUUGUUACCUUUCUUUCAUUUUGCUUUUAUUUUUACUUGGAUCCUUGCUUUCUGUUCAAAUCUUUACAUCGGUUUAAUGUUAGAGGAAAGUGCCUUGAUUCUUUUCCUAUUUAAGAAGAUGCUGAUUAAAAAAGCAUCUGUGGUGAUUUUGUAUGGGAGGGGAUCUUUUAGACUGAAUAUUAAGUAGAAGAGAUUCCUCUAGUUAAUACACAACAACCUGGAAAAAUUGUUUUGAUAACCAAACAUGCAAAUUGCCCAUGUACUUCCUCUUUCUACACAAAGACCCACAUCAUAUUCUUGCAACUGCCUUUGUCUUAAUUGCUUCGUAAGAAAAACCCUGCCUAUCAUUUGGUCUCCUUUGAAACACUGGCUCAGAACUCCUCAGGGUGGCCAGUAGAAUGCUUCGGACAGAAAAAUGAUGUACAUAAACAGAACAGAAUAUAGGAACAACAGAAACGACUCUUCUAGAUAUUUCUGUUUACUUUCUUUUUUUUUUUUUUCCAGAUGAGAAUAUGACAUCCAGAAUGGCUGGCAGUGCAAGCCAGUGCUUACAACCCUCAGUCUCAUUUCUUUUUACUAAUACAUUGUACUUUCUCUCUUCUUCUUCAGGAAAGUAUUUUUGUCUGAAGAUAAAAAUGUAAUGUUGGAGCUAAAAUGUCAUAAGGUCACAAAUCAUAAAAAUGUCCAAAAACCUGAGACUAUUUAUCUUUAUAGUGAAUGCCUCCAUAAAUAUUUAUUAUUUUCUAAGAUAACCCUGAACCAUAAAGAAAACAUAGCAUUAUUUAAGAAGACAGAAAAAUAUGUAAUAACACUUAGACACUGAUUGAAAUUGAAUUAAAAUUCUCAUGGAAACUCUUCUUGGAACUUAAAGGGAUUAAUGGGCAUUAAUUUUCUAGAAAAUACACAUGGUUCACUUAAAUAAAUUCACUUUGAGUAAUAAAAUAGCUACUGAA
rnacentral:lncRNA from 13 species